GGAGAGGGUGGCCGUCGAGGUCCCAGGCCCCAGAGCUUAAUGCAGAAGGGGUUCAGAAAAGAGGGCAGGCAGAGCCCUGGUCCUCUGGUCUGCAUCACGUGGGCACACGUGGCUUCUUGCUCAGGACGUCAGUGGACGUGGUGAUCUCUGCCUCUGCGCUCUCUCUCCCGUCCAGUUUGCAUAAAGCUAUGAGGUUCGCCUUCAGGUUUUUUAUGGACGUGCAGUUUCCAGGCGCUGAGGCCAGAGCAGUGAACAGACGGGGCGGGGCGUGCUGUGGAGCUGGGGUGCUCACAAUGGGGGGAAGCGGGUGGAAGCACAGACACUCUUGGCAGAGUGCCUGCAGGUUACCUAUAAUCCCCUUCACGAUUUCAAGGAUAGGAAUGGGAGUUGAGGACAAAAACUCCCUCUUCCUGGGGGUGGGAGGGAAGGGUUUUGCAGGUGCACAUGGUCAGCCAAUAUGCAGGUUUGUAUUUAAGAUUUAAUUGUGUUGGUGGCUCACAUCUGUUAUCCCAGUACUUCCGGAAGCAGAGGCAGGUGGAUCACCUGAGGUCAGGAGUUCGAGACCAGCCUGGCCAACAUGGCGAACGCCCAUCUCUACUAAAAAUGCAAAAAUCAAUUGGGCACGGUGGCGUGUGCCUGUAAUCCCAGCUACUCAGGAGGCUGAGGCAGAAGAAUCACUUUAACCCGGGAGGUUGCAGUGAGCUGAAAUGGUGCCAUUGCACUCCAUCCUGGGUGACAAGAGUGAAACUCUGUCUCAAAAACAAAACAAAAAAAUGGUGCAUUGAUUCUGCCAGGACAGAGUAGAGGGAGGGAGAUAAAGAAGGCUGUCCUCCAGCACAGGUCCUGGUCCUGUCUGUAGGAGUGAAGAAGGCCACGUGGGAGCAGAGGACAGCAGAUGGCUCCUCCUGCUCAGGGAAGGGAUGGUGCUGUGGGUGUUCGGGGGACAGUGCUGCUGGGUCCUGCCGUGUCCCCGCUCUGUUUUUCUGGGUUUGAUGUGGAGGCACCUCUGCUGCACCCCCCUGUUGGCUUCUAGCACUCCCAGGCCUUGCAGUGGCAGCCGGAACAGGCCCUCCUCCUCACAAAAUCCCAAGACAUCGAAGACUUCCGGAAGUAGGGCCGUGGCAGAGACCACGUCUGCAGAGCCGUCCGCCCAUGCUGGCUGCUCAUUAGAGUCGCCUGUGGUGGGGGCUUUCAUUCCUGGUCCCGUUCUGGAAGACCCUCGUGGCAGCGGCCUGUGCACCUGUUCUGCCAGCACCGCGGCGGAUGAGGUCACAAUCUGCCCCUGGCUUGUGCAGGGAGUGAGGCUCUGUCCCAGGUGUCCCUGUCAUGUGUGGGUGAGUUUCGGUCCUGGGUGUCCUUGGCUUUUGCUCUCUUGUGCUGUGCUUCUGUACAUCUGCUGUUUCUGUGGCCACAGCCACGCCAGUCGCCUGGAUAAAUGGUGCAGGCACCGGGCCGGUCCCCAAGCCUAUCUUUUCUCGUCCUGGGCUCUUCUUGGUCACUUCCUCCUUCCACGUUGCUGCCGGGACACAGGACUCUGCAGGUUCUCACGUCCCCCCUGCUUCAGGUCUGGCUUGCUUCUGUCUGACCUGGCUUGCCCACCCCUGUGGCCACCCCCGUUCCUGCCACACGCUUGCUGCCAGUAUUCCUCUCCCAGCUCGCCCCGUGCCGAGGCUGGACUGCCAGGCUGCCUGUGUCUGCUGCCAAGUGUUGCUGGAGACAUACCAGAAGGGUUCUCUGUGGCCGGAAGGAAAGCAGGCACCUCAGCCCCUCACUUGUCCUGUUUUCUCCCAAGCUGCCCCUCCGCUCAGCCCCCCUUGUUACCUUACUCUGGGCACCUUUGGCUUGUUGCUGAGGCUGGGCUCUGCCUCCAGUCACCCCUCACGUGAACUGACAUCCAGCCACAGGUUGCAGUGUCUCCCUCCGUCUCCUGCUCUGAGACCCACAUCAAGGGCCAGUGUCUCGGCCUGGCUUUGUCAGACUUAACUCUGGGUCUUUGUUUUGAAUUUCACUAGUUUACCUCGGAUGUUUCUGUCUGUGCAGUGGAUGCUUUCUUUUGGUUUAUUCUUUUGUUCCUUUGCUAACCUCUUAGCUUAGCUAUGCAUUUCCCUCUAAGUGCUGCCUCAGCUGCAGCCUGCACUUUGAUGUGAAAUAAUGUUGACUUCAGCCACUUUUAGGAGUUCUUAAAAUACCUAAUAGUGUUAAUACUUUUAAGUAUUCCCGUUCUUUUUUUGUUUGUGCACUCUGUGUUUUGAUGUGAAGUCAUUUUGAUAUCAGACCCUUUUAAGUAUUGUUUAGCUUAUUCUUUGAUCAGUGAGUUUUAAGAAUAUUGUCCAGAUACAUUGAGUAUUUUAAGUUACGUUGUUAUUGAUUUCUAACUCAGUUAUCUAGCGGUCUGUAUAAUACCAAUUAAUUUGAAGUUUGUGAUCUAGUGUGUGGGUGGCUUCCAGAAAUGUCCAUGGUAUAUUUGACACCCUGUAGAUAGCAGCCAUGUUCACUAUAUCCAGCUUAUUAGGGUUCUGCACAAAGCUUCUGUCUCCUUCUAGAUGCAUGAAAUUGCAAGAGGUAGGCCAAGUCCCUCACCUAGGGGAUGGGUCUGUCAUUUCUUCUCGUUUGGUGGCAUUUAUGCAGGGCAUUAUUAGGUUCGUGCACCUGGUAGAAUUUUUAUCUUCCUGAUGAGUGAAUCUUUUGUAGACUUCUAUGUCUCUAGUAAUCUAGUAACUCUUUGUAAAUUGCUCUUAGUGCUGCCACACUGGGCUUCUUGUGAUUAGUAUUUUCCUGCUGUGUUGGUUUUCUGUCUUUAAUUUAUAUUUUCCUUUCCUUUUUUUUUUGUUUUUUUUUUUGAGACAGAGUCUCGCUCUGUUGACCAGGGUAAGUGCAGGAAUGCAG
rnacentral:lncRNA from 13 species